rnacentral:rRNA from 1 species
GAGUUUGAUCUUGGCUCAGAUUGAACGCUGGCGGCAUGCCUUACACAUGCAAGUCGAACGGCAGCACGGGAGCUUGCUCCUGGUGGCGAGUGGCGAACGGGUGAGUAAUGCAUCGGAACGUAUCCUGGAGAGGGGGAUAACGUAGCGAAAGUUACGCUAAUACCGCAUAUUCUGUGAGCAGGAAAGCGGGGGACCUUCGGGCCUCGCGCUCUUGGAGCGGCCGAUGUCGGAUUAGCUAGUUGGUGAGGUAAAGGCUCACCAAGGCGACGAUCCGUAGCAGGUCUGAGAGGAUGAUCUGCCACACUGGAACUGAGACACGGUCCAGACUCCUACGGGAGGCAGCAGUGGGGAAUUUUGGACAAUGGGGGCAACCCUGAUCCAGCCAUGCCGCGUGAGUGAAGAAGGCCUCGG